rnacentral:rRNA from 1 species
UNAAAGGCUGUGGCAUAACCAUAGUACGCUUUGGAAACUGUUUAACUNGAGUGCAGAAGGGGAGAGUGGAAUUCCAUGUGUAGCGGUGAAAUGCGUAGAUAUAUGGAGGAACACCGGUGGCGAAAGCGGCUCUCUGGUCUGUAACUGACGCUGAGGCUCGAAAGCGUGGGGAGCGAACAGGAUUAGAUACCCUGGUAGUNCACGCCGUAAACGAUGAGUGCUAGGUGUUAGGCCCUUCCGGGGCUUAGUGCCGCAGCUAACGCAUUAAGCACUCCGCCUGGGGAGUACGACCGCAAGGUUGAAACUCAAAGGAAUUGACGGGGGCCCGCACAAGCGGUGGAGCAUGUGGUUUAAUUCGAAGCAACGCGAAGAACCUUACCAGGUCUUGACAUCCCGAUGCCCGCUCUAGAGAUAGAGUUUUACUUCGGUACAUCGGUGACAGGUGGUGCAUGGUUGUCGUCAGCUCGUGUCGUGAGAUGUUGGGUUAAGUCCCGCAACGAGCGCAACCCUUAUUGUUAGUUGCCAUCAUUCAGUUGGGCACUCUAGCGAGACUGCCGGUAAUAAACCGGAGGAAGGUGGGGAUGACGUCAAAUCAUCAUGCCCCUUAUGACCUGGGCUACACACGUGCUACAAUGGCUGGUACAACGAGUCGCAAGUCGGUGACGGCAAGCUAAUCUCUUAAAGCCAGUCUCAGUUCGGAUUGUAGGCUGCAACUCGCCUACAUGAAGUCGGAAUCGCUAGUAAUCGCGGAUCAGCACGCCGCGGUGAAUACGUUCCCGGGCCUUGUACACACCGCCCGUCACACCACGAGAGUUUGUAACACCCGAAGUCGGUGAGGUAACCUUUUAG